CCAAUAGCGUAUAUUAAAGUUGCUGCAGUUAAAAAGCUCGUAGUUGAAUUUCGGGACUAAUAUGUCGGUCGUGCCUCGGUACGUACUGGUAUUUUUGGUUUCUCCCUUCUGACGAACCUUGAUGUCAUUAAUUUGGUGUCAUGGGGAAUCAGGACUGUUACUUUGAAAAAAUUAGAGUGUUUAAAGCAGGCUCACGCUUGAAUACAUUAGCAUGGAAUAAUGAAAUAGGACGUUUGACCCUAUUUUGUUGGUUUCUAGGAUCGACGUAAUGAUUAAUAGGGAUAGUUGGGGGCAUUAGUAUUCAAUUGUCAGAGGUGAAAUUCUUGGAUUUAUUGAAGGCUAACUACUGCGAAAGCAUUUGCCAAGGAUAUUUUCAUUAAUCAAGAACGAAAGUUAGGGGAUCGAAGACGAUCAGAUACCGUCGUAGUCUUAACCAUAAACUAUGCCGACUAGGGAUCGGAUGAUGUUAAUUUUUUAAUGACUCAUUCGGCGCCUUACG
rnacentral:misc_RNA from 1 species